GUGGGGAAUCUUGCGCAAUGGGCGAAAGCCUGACGCAGCCAUGCCGCGUGAAUGAUGAAGGUCUUAGGAUUGUAAAAUUCUUUCACCGGGGACGAUAAUGACGGUACCCGGAGAAGAAGCCCCGGCUAACUUCGUGCCAGCAGCCGCGGUAAUACGAAGGGGGCUAGCGUUGCUCGGAAUUACUGGGCGUAAAGGGAGCGUAGGCGGAUAGUUUAGUCAGAGGUGAAAGCCCAGGGCUCAACCUUGGAAUUGCCUUUGAUACUGGCGAUCUUGAGUAUGGAAGAGGUAUGAGGAACUCCGAGUGUAGAGGUGAAAUUCGUAGAUAUUCGGAAGAACACCAGUGGCGAAGGCGACAUACUGGUCCAUUACUGACGCUGAGGCUCGAAAGCGUGGGGAGCAAACAGGAUUAGAUACCCGGGUAGUCU
rnacentral:rRNA from 1 species